rnacentral:rRNA from 1 species
GGGUUGUGAGGUUAAGCGACUAAGCGUACACGGUGGAUGCCCUGGCAGUCAGAGGCGAUGAAGGACGUGCUAAUCUGCGAUAAGCGUCGGUAAGGUGAUAUGAACCGUUAUAACCGGCGAUUUCCGAAUGGGGAAACCCAGUGUGAUUCGUCACACUAUCAUUAACUGAAUCCAUAGGUUAAUGAGGCGAACCGGGGGAACUGAAACAUCUAAGUACCCCGAGGAAAAGAAAUCAACCGAGAUUCCCCCAGUAGCGGCGAGCGAACGGGGAGCAGCCCAGAGCCUGAAUCAGUGUGUGUGUUAGUGGAAGCGUCUGGAAAGGCGCGCGAUACAGGGUGACAGCCCCGUACACAAAAAUGCACAUACUGUGAGCUCGAUGAGUAGGGCGGGACACGUGGUAUCCUGUCUGAAUAUGGGGGGACCAUCCUCCAAGGCUAAAUACUCCUGACUGACCGAUAGUGAACCAGUACCGUGAGGGAAAGGCGAAAAGAACCCCGGCGAGGGGAGUGAAAAAGAACCUGAAACCGUGUACGUACAAGCAGUGGGAGCACGCUUAGGCGUGUGACUGCGUACCUUUUGUAUAAUGGGUCAGCGACUUAUAUUCUGUAGCAAGGUUAACCGAAUAGGGGAGCCGAAGGGAAACCGAGUCUUAACUGGGCGUUAAGUUGCAGGGUAUAGACCCGAAACCCGGUGAUCUAGCCAUGGGCAGGUUGAAGGUUGGGUAACACUAACUGGAGGACCGAACCGACUAAUGUUGAAAAAUUAGCGGAUGACUUGUGGCUGGGGGUGAAAGGCCAAUCAAACCGGGAGAUAGCUGGUUCUCCCCGAAAGCUAUUUAGGUAGCGCCUCGUGAAUUCAUCUCCGGGGGUAGAGCACUGUUUCGGCAAGGGGGUCAUCCCGACUUACCAACCCGAUGCAAACUGCGAAUACCGGAGAAUGUUAUCACGGGAGACACACGGCGGGUGCUAACGUCCGUCGUGAAGAGGGAAACAACCCAGACCGCCAGCUAAGGUCCCAAAGUCAUGGUUAAGUGGGAAACGAUGUGGGAAGGCCCAGACAGCCAGGAUGUUGGCUUAGAAGCAGCCAUCAUUUAAAGAAAGCGUAAUAGCUCACUGGUCGAGUCGGCCUGCGCGGAAGAUGUAACGGGGCUAAACCAUGCACCGAAGCUGCGGCAGCGACGCUUAUGCGUUGUUGGGUAGGGGAGCGUUCUGUAAGCCUGUGAAGGUGUACUGUGAGGUAUGCUGGAGGUAUCAGAAGUGCGAAUGCUGACAUAAGUAACGAUAAAGCGGGUGAAAAGCCCGCUCGCCGGAAGACCAAGGGUUCCUGUCCAACGUUAAUCGGGGCAGGGUGAGUCGACCCCUAAGGCGAGGCCGAAAGGCGUAGUCGAUGGGAAACAGGUUAAUAUUCCUGUACUUGGUGUUACUGCGAAGGGGGGACGGAGAAGGCUAUGUUGGCCGGGCGACGGUUGUCCCGGUUUAAGCGUGUAGGCUGGUUUUCCAGGCAAAUCCGGAAAAUCAAGGCUGAGGCGUGAUGACGAGGCACUACGGUGCUGAAGCAACAAAUGCCCUGCUUCCAGGAAAAGCCUCUAAGCAUCAGGUAACAUCAAAUCGUACCCCAAACCGACACAGGUGGUCAGGUAGAGAAUACCAAGGCGCUUGAGAGAACUCGGGUGAAGGAACUAGGCAAAAUGGUGCCGUAACUUCGGGAGAAGGCACGCUGAUAUGUAGGUGAAGUCCCUCGCGGAUGGAGCUGAAAUCAGUCGAAGAUACCAGCUGGCUGCAACUGUUUAUUAAAAACACAGCACUGUGCAAACACGAAAGUGGACGUAUACGGUGUGACGCCUGCCCGGUGCCGGAAGGUUAAUUGAUGGGGUCAGCGCAAGCGAAGCUCUUGAUCGAAGCCCCGGUAAACGGCGGCCGUAACUAUAACGGUCCUAAGGUAGCGAAAUUCCUUGUCGGGUAAGUUCCGACCUGCACGAAUGGCGUAAUGAUGGCCAGGCUGUCUCCACCCGAGACUCAGUGAAAUUGAACUCGCUGUGAAGAUGCAGUGUACCCGCGGCAAGACGGAAAGACCCCGUGAACCUUUACUAUAGCUUGACACUGAACAUUGAGCCUUGAUGUGUAGGAUAGGUGGGAGGCUUGGAAGUGUGGACGCCAGUCUGCAUGGAGCCGACCUUGAAAUACCACCCUUUAAUGUUUGAUGUUCUAACGUGGACCCGUGAUCCGGGUUGCGGACAGUGUCUGGUGGGUAGUUUGACUGGGGCGGUCUCCUCCUAAAGAGUAACGGAGGAGCACGAAGGUUGGCUAAUCCUGGUCGGACAUCAGGAGGUUAGUGCAAUGGCAUAAGCCAGCUUGACUGCGAGCGUGACGGCGCGAGCAGGUGCGAAAGCAGGUCAUAGUGAUCCGGUGGUUCUGAAUGGAAGGGCCAUCGCUCAACGGAUAAAAGGUACUCCGGGGAUAACAGGCUGAUACCGCCCAAGAGUUCAUAUCGACGGCGGUGUUUGGCACCUCGAUGUCGGCUCAUCACAUCCUGGGGCUGAAGUAGGUCCCAAGGGUAUGGCUGUUCGCCAUUUAAAGUGGUACGCGAGCUGGGUUUAGAACGUCGUGAGACAGUUCGGUCCCUAUCUGCCGUGGGCGCUGGAGAACUGAGGGGGGCUGCUCCUAGUACGAGAGGACCGGAGUGGACGCAUCACUGGUGUUCGGGUUGUCAUGCCAAUGGCACUGCCCGGUAGCUAAAUGCGGAAGAGAUAAGUGCUGAAAGCAUCUAAGCACGAAACUUGCCCCGAGAUGAGUUCUCCCUGACUCCUUGAGAGUCCUGAAGGAACGUUGAAGACGACGACGUUGAUAGGCCGGGUGUGUAAGCGCAGCGAUGCGUUGAGCUAACCGGUACUAAUGAACCGUGAGGCUUAACCUUACAACGCCGAAG